rnacentral:rRNA from 1 species
GUGGGGAAUCUUGCGCAAUGGGCGAAAGCCUGACGCAGCCAUGCCGCGUGAAUGAUGAAGGUCUUAGGAUUGUAAAAUUCUUUCACCGGGGACGAUAAUGACGGUACCCGGAGAAGAAGCUCCGGCUAACUUCGUGCCAGCAGCCGCGGUAAUACGAAGGGGGCUAGCGUUGCUCGGAAUUACUGGGCGUAAAGGGCGCGUAGGCGGACAGCUUAGUCAGAGGUGAAAGCCCAGGGCUCAACCUUGGAAUUGCCUUUGAUACUGGCUGUCUUGAGUUUGGGAGAGGUGAGUGGAACUCCGAGUGUAGAGGUGAAAUUCGUAGAUAUUCGGAAGAACACCAGUGGCGAAGGCGACUCACUGACCCAAUACUGACGCUGAGGCGCGAAAGCGUGGGGAGCAAACAGGAUUAGAAACCCGUGUAGUCC